rnacentral:rRNA from 1 species
CCUACGGGCGGCUGCAGUGGGGAAUAUUGGACAAUGGGGGGAACCCUGAUCCAGCCAUGCCGCGUGUGUGGAGAAGGCCCUCGGGUUGUAAAGCACUUUCAGUGAGGAAGAACGCCUGGUGGUUAAUACCCAUCAGGAAAGACAUCACUCACAGAAGAAGCACCGGCUAACUCCGUGCCAGCAGCCGCGGUAAUACGGAGGGUGCGAGCGUUAAUCGGAAUUACUGGGCGUAAAGCGCGCGUAGGUGGCCUGAUAAGCCGGUUGUGAAAGCCCCGGGCUCAACCUGGGAACGGCAUCCGGAACUGUCAAGCUAGAGUGCAGGAGAGGAAGGUAGAAUUCCCGGUGUAGCGGUGAAAUGCGUAGAGAUCGGGAGGAAUACCAGUGGCGAAGGCGGCCUUCUGGACUGACACUGACACUGAGGUGCGAAAGCGUGGGUAGCAAACAGGAUUAGAUACCCCGGUAGUC